rnacentral:miRNA from 1 species
ACAAAAUGACAGGGGCCAGGUGCAAUAUUAAAGGUCCCUUUAAUAUUGCACCUGGCCCCUGUCAUUUUGUUUCCUUGC